rnacentral:tRNA from 1 species
CGUGGCACAGCAGGUUACUGCGACCGCCUGAAGAGCGAUUAGAUCACAACCGAUCUUCCUGGGUUCAAGUCCCAGCCCCAGGA